rnacentral:rRNA from 1 species
GGAUAGGCCCUAAAUGCCCUAAAGAUACCAAAUCCCAUUUGAUUUGGAAGCUAAGCAGGGUCAGCUCAGGUGAGUACUUGGAUUGGAGACUGCCAACAAAUAGCAGAUGCUCUAGGCC